rnacentral:rRNA from 1 species
GCUCAGAAACUUAAAGGAAUUGACGGGGCCCGCACAAGCGGUGGAGUAUGUGGUUUAAUUCGAUGCAACGCGAAGAACCUUACCUGGUCUUGACAUCCCGGAGACCCUUAGGAAACUAGGGGGUGCUUCCAUCUGGAAGAAUCUGGAGACAGGUGGUGCAUGGUUGUCGUCAGCUCGUGUCGUGAGAUGUUGGGUUAAGUCCCGCAACGAGCGCAACCCUUGUGUUUAGUUGCAAACAGGUCAAGCUGUGCACUCUAGACAGACUGCCGUGGACAACACGGAGGAAGGUGGGGAUGACGUCAAAUCAUCAUGCCCCUUAUGAUCUGGGCUACACACGUGCUACAAUGGCCGGUACAACGGGCAGCGAAGGAGCGAUCCGGAGCGAAUCCUAAAAAGCCGGUCCCAGUUCGGAUUGCAGGCUGAAACUCGCCUACAUGAAGUUGGAGUUGCUAGUAAUCGCGAAUCAGAAUGUCGCGGUGAAUGCGUUCCCGGGUCUU